rnacentral:rRNA from 1 species
AGUGUAGGCGGGAUCGUAAGUUAGGAGUUUAAUGCAUGGGCUUAACCCAUGACCUGCUUUUAAUACUGCGGUUCUUGAGUAUGGGAGAGGGCGAUGGAAUUCCAGGUGUAGCGGUGGAAUGCGUAGAUAUCUGGAAGAACACCAGUAGCGAAGGCGGUCGCCUGGCCCAAUGCUGACGCUGAUGCUCGAAAGCUAGGGGAGCAAACAGGAUUAGAUACCCUGGUAGUCCUAGCCGUAAACGAUGGACACUAGUUGCUGGAGGAGUCAAUCCUUUCAGUGACGAAGCUAACGCAUUAAGUCGUCCCGCCUGGGGAGUACGCUCGCAAGGGUGAA